rnacentral:rRNA from 1 species
UCUGGUUGAUCCUGCCAGUAGCAUAUGCUCGUCUCAAAGACUAAGCCAUGCACGUCUCCGUACGAGCUAAAAGUAAAGUGAAACCGCGAACAGCUCAUUAAAUCAGUCGUUAUUUACGAGACGGAAGGGCAACCGUAGAUGGAUAACUGCGGAAAUUCUGGAGCUAAUACAUGCCAUUGACGACGCGACGUUCGAAAGUUCGGAGCGCAGCCUUUAUUAGACCGAAACGGUGGGUCCUGGACCUCGCGUCUGGCCCUCCUCUGGUGACUCCGGGUAACCGACAGUUGAUCGCAAGGCCUUCGAGCCCGCGACGCAUCUUUCAAGGGUCUGCCUCAUCAACUAGAUGGUUUGCAAACAGCCGACCAUGGUGCCGACGGGUGACGGGGAAUUAGGGUUCGAUUCCGGAGAGGGAGCCUUAGAAAUCGCUACCACAUCCAAGGAAGGCAGCAGGCGCGAAAAUUACCCACUCCUGGUACGGGGAGGUAGUGACGAUAGAUAACGACGCCGACUUCUCCAAAGAGGAUCGGCGAUCGGAAUGAGCGCAUAGUAAAUCCUUCGUAUAUCGAGGAUCGAUUGGAGGGCAAGUCUGGUGCCAGCAGCCGCGGUAAUACCAGCUCCGAAAGCGUAUACUAAAAUUGUUGCGGUUGAAACGCUCGUAGUCUAGUAAGGGGAUCGUAUGGGAGCCGUCCGCGGCGGCGUCCGCGGCCUCGGUCCCGUCGAACCCCUUCCCAUUCCGACGGUCCGUCAUACAGGUCCUCUUCAUUGAGAGCCGCGGAACGUUCGGAGAACCUGCUACCGUGAGAAAACCGGAGUGCUCCAAGCCUGACUCUAGCCGGUCAUUACGACCGACGGCGAUCGAAAGUUCGCGGCACGACAUUUAUAAUAGCCACCGCGCGGGUUUACGCCCGUGUCGGCGGCGGAGACGAACGGAGACCAAGCGAGGGCGCGGGUAUCCCAGCGGCGAAAGGUGAAAUUUUAAGAUCCUUGGGGGACCGGCGGAGGCGAAAGCGUCCGCCAAGUGGGUCCAGUUACGAUCAGGAACUAAAGUCGGAGGACCGAAGGUGAUCAGAUACCACCGUAGUUCCGACCCUAAACGAUGCCAUCCGGAGAUCCGAAGGAGUGCGAGCGAGUAUCCCUUCGGGCACUCCUCCCGGGAAACCCAGAGACGGGCUCCGGGGGGAGUAUGGUCGCAAGACUGAAACUUAAAGGAAUUGACGGAAGGGCACCACCAGGAGUGGAGCCUGCGGCUUAAUUUGACUCAACACGGGGAACCUCACCGGGACCGGACACCGUGAUGACAGCCAGACCGAACGGACCUUUGACGAUUCGGACGGACGUUGUGGCUGGCCGCUCCUAGCUCGUGGAACCAUCGCACAGGUUAAUUCCGAACACGGAAGAGUCUCACACAGACGCACUAAAGCGCAGCAACGAAAAGACGACCCGGCUCGAGCGUGCCCG